ACCCCGAUCCCAAGCACCAUGGAGCCGACGAUUUGGAUCAAGACCUACAUCCCAAGCACCAAGGUGCCUGGUUGAUAUGGAUCGCGAUCCCGAUCUGGAGCUCCAGGGCGCCGAGGAUUUCGAUCACGAUCCCGAUCUGAAGCACCGAGUAGCCGAGGAUAUGGAUCAAGACCCCGGUCCGAAGCGACAAGGAGGCAAGGAUUUGGAUCACCACUCCGAUCAAAGGCACCAAGGCGUCGAGGGAUUGGAUCGAGAUCCCGAUCCCAAUCAUGAAGUUGGCUAUGUAAUUUCCUGUUUUCCACACCGUUCAGGGCAUUUUGGUGGUCGUAUCGGCUUUUAGUUGCUUGCUUGGUGUUAGUGCCAAGGGAGUGGUUGGAAGCUAGGUCGUCCUCUGGAAUGCUUGUUGUAAAGGUGUAUGAGUUGUGUUUGGCUUGUUACGGGUGUUUGUUGGCUGCUUGUGCAGGAACUUUCAUGCGUCCAAGCCUCUUCAGUUGUGCUACAAGGCCUUGUUUGUCUUGUGCAUACGGUGGGUUUCCUGUGUUGCAUACCUAAUCAAGGGCAUCGUAUGGCAUGAUCGAAGUAAAUAUUCGUAAUGCGCCGCUUGCGGCGUUGCACGAACCUCGAAGUGGUCUCUGUGGCCCAUGUUGUCUUUGCUCACGUAUGGAUGGCAUGGCCCUCGGAGCGUCGCUUGGUCUCUUGGAUACGGAACCUGAUGAUGUGGGCGGUAGGGUCUUGGAUGAUUCUACCUUCGC
rnacentral:misc_RNA from 1 species